AUUAAAGAGAGUUUGAUCCUGGCUCAGGACGAACGCUGGCGGCGUGCCUAAUACAUGCAAGUAGAACGCUGAGAACUGGUGCUUGCACCGGUUCAAGGAGUUGCGAACGGGUGAGUAACGCGUAGGUAACCUACCUCAUAGCGGGGGAUAACUAUUGGAAACGAUAGCUAAUACCGCAUAAGAGAGACUAACGCAUGUUAGUAAUUUAAAAGGGGCAAUUGCUCCACUAUGAGAUGGACCUGCGUUGUAUUAGCUAGUUGGUGAGGUAAAGGCUCACCAAGGCGACGAUACAUAGCCGACCUGAGAGGGUGAUCGGCCACACUGGGACUGAGACACGGCCCAGACUCCUACGGGAGGCA
rnacentral:ncRNA from 1 species